AUUGAACGCUGGCGGCAUGCCUUACACAUGCAAGUCGAACGGCAGCACGGGAGCAAUCCUGGUGGCGAGUGGCGAACGGGUGAGUAAUACAUCGGAACGUGCCCAAUCGUGGGGGAUAACGCAGCGAAAGCUGUGCUAAUACCGCAUACGAUCUACGGAUGAAAGCAGGGGAUCGCAAGACCUUGCGCGAAUGGAGCGGCCGAUGGCAGAUUAGGUAGUUGGUGAGGUAAAGGCUCACCAAGCCGUCGAUCUGUAGCUGGUCUGAGAGGACGACCAGCCACACUGGGACUGAGACACGGCCCAGACUCCUACGGGAGGCAGCAGUGGGGAAUUUUGGACAAUGGGCGAAAGCCUGAUCCAGCCAUGCCGCGUGCAGGAUGAAGGCCUUCGGGUUGUAAACUGCUUUUGUACGGAACGAAACGGCCUUUUCUAAUAAAGAGGGCUAAUGACGGUACCGUAAGAAUAAGCACCGGCUAACUACGUGCCAGCAGCCGCGGUAAUACGUAGGGUGCAAGCGUUAAUCGGA
rnacentral:rRNA from 1 species